AACGAACGCCGGCGGCAGGCCUAACACAUGCAAGUCGAACGAGAAGCCACCUUCGGGUGGUGGACAGUGGCAGACGGGUGAGUAACGCGUGGGAACGUGCCUUUCGGUUCGGGAUAACCCAGGGAAACUUGGGCUAAUACCGGAUACGCCCUCCGGGGGAAAGAUUCAUUGCCGAAAGAUCGGCCCGCGUCGGAUUAGCUAGUUGGUGGGGUAAAAGCCUACCAAGGCGACGAUCCGUAGCUGGUCUGAGAGGAUGACCAGCCACACUGGGACUGAGACACGGCCCAGACUCCUACGGGAGGCAGCAGUGGGGAAUAUUGGACAAUGGGCGAAAGCCUGAUCCAGCCAUGCCGCGUGGGUGAAGAAGGCCUUAGGGUUGUAAACCCCUUUCAGCGGGGAAGAUAAUGACGGUACCCGCAGAAGAAGUCCCGGCUAACUCCGUGCCAGCAGCCGCCGUAA
rnacentral:rRNA from 1 species